GGCUCAUCCCCGACAAGGCGACAACCUCUCCGACGACACGGCGGCGCCUCCACUCCUCCCUCCGGCGAACUCCGCCGCCGCCGCCGGCGCGACGGCAGUACGGCCUCACCGCAUGCUCCCCCGCUUCCCCGUCUCGCUCCUCCGGUCUCGCAGCCUGCUGCGAGGCAGCGCCCGCCGCGGCCUCGUCACUGCGAUGGCCGGAGCCCGCGGCGGCGGCGGCGGCGGCGGGGAGGAUGGCCAGCUCGGGGAGUUCUAUGAGUACAUGGAGCGGCUGCGCAACUACGAGCGCUCCGGGGUGCCGCGCGGCGCCGGGACCGACUCCGACGACGGCUUCGACCUCGGCCGCAUGCGCCGCCUCCUCCGCCGCCUCGGCGACCCCCACACCCACUUCCCGGCUGUUCAUAUUGCUGGCACCAAGGGGAAAGGUUCAACUGCUGCAUUCCUGUCCAAUAUCAUGAGGGAACAAGGCUACAAUGUUGGAUGCUAUACUAGCCCACAUCUUCUAACAAUUCGUGAACGCAUCUCUGUUGGACAAAGUGGAGGUCCUGUUUCAGCUGAAUUGUUGAGGGAUCUUUUUGGUCAUGCUAAAGAAGCCAUUGGUCAAUCAAUAGAAUCAGAAGAUGGAGCCCUGACUCACUUUGAGGUUUUCACAGCUCUCUCAUAUCUCCUAUUCUCACAAGAAAAUGUUGACAUUGCUAUUGUCGAAGCAGGCCUCGGUGGAGCUAGAGAUGCCACAAACGUCAUACAAAGUACUGAAUUAGCUGCAUCUGUCAUAACAACAGUAGGGAAAGAACAUUUGGCUGCUUUGGGUGGUUCUUUACAAAGUAUAGCAGUGGCAAAGUCUGGAAUCAUCAAGCAGGAGCGACCAGUUAUAAUUGGUGGCCCAUUUUCCCCAGAUAUCGAGCAAAUUCUCCGGGAUAGAGCAUUCUUAACACAAUCUCCCGUAAUAUCUGCAUGCGAUCCCGGCAUCAGGAGCAUCACAAGAUGCAUUGGUUGGGAUUGUGGAAAACCUUAUCAAAGCUGUGACAUUGUCAUCGAGAUUUCAAAUGAUAUUCCAUUGUUUAUUGAAUUGCAAGAUUUAAAACUCCAGUUGCUGGGAGAUCAUCAGCGCCAGAAUGCUGUAACAGCUUGCUGCACAGCUUUAUGUCUCCGUGAGCUAGGAUGGAAUAUUUCUGAUACAUCAAUCCAAGCUGGUUUAGAGAAGACACAACUGCCCGGGAGAAGCCAAUUUCUUACAAAAGAGGAGACUUCAGUACUUGGGCUUGAUGGAACAUCCAGUGUACUUGUCGAUGGAGCCCAUACCGAGGCAUCAGCAAAGGCUUUAUCAGAUGUGAUAAAAACUGUCCAACCAAGAGGGCCUUUGGCUCUUGUUGUUGGAAUGGCCAAUGACAAAGAACACUUGGCCUUUGCUGAACAGCUUCUGUCAGGCCCAAGACCAGAUGUUGUAUUGCUGACAGAGGCGAGCAUUGCUGGAGGACGCUCCCGGUCUAUGCCAGCUUCAUCACUGAAGGAGAUAUGGAUGGCUGCUGCACAAAGCCAGGGCAUCAGCUGCUACUCGGACAUAGGGACGAUCACCGGCGUUGAAGCUCCGAUCAUCGCCAGCCGUCCCACGACAUCCCGGUCCUUGAGCGGUGACAAACCCAUGCUGAUUGGAUGUUGCACGCCAUUUUCGUCCGACCUGAUCAGGGUUGCCUCUCGGCUGCUUCAGACCCAAGAAGAUGGCGACACUGGGCUGAUCUGCGUGACCGGCUCCUUGCACAUGGUUUCGUCAGUUCUUGGACAGCUUAGGCAGUAGCUGCCUCUGUUGAUGAACAUGACUGGAGGUAGCUAGCUUGCAACAGGCUGGUUGCUGUCGGUGCCUUGCCCUGGAAAAAAUCUCUCUUCCUUCUCUUCGUUUGGACCUGAAGCUGAGGACAGAACAGCAGCGUGUGAAAUGUGUGAGGCUGGAGUUUUUUUUUAUUUUUUUUUUGAAUUUUUAAUUUUAAAAAUAAACUCAUUCAAAACUUGAUCUGAAUCUUUUGGCUACGCCUCGUGGUAAAACAACACUGUUACGUCGGUCUGGCUAGUAUGACACCGUUAUUUGGUCAGGUCUUUUUUGCUGGUGUUAGUGUUGUUUCCAAAAGGUUCAAAAUAAAUUUUAAAAUGGUUUAUUUUUUAAAUGAAAAAAAAUCGACGCUGAAUGGAUAGAGAAGAGGUUGGUUGGCCUGUACAGGUAAGGUACUGUACCUUGUAGGAGUAGCUACUCCUAGUGGCGACUGCAUUCAUUCAUCCGUUUAUCCAUUGAUUGAUGAUCCAUCCAUUCGUACGUUCCUAGGUGGUUUUGUGGGCCCACCUUUGAGGAGCAGGGACACGUGGCAGUGCCACCUGUCGAUCUGUGGUGGUUCACUCACGAGCAGUACUACUGCCACUUUGUCCUCACUGUCCUGUCUGUGUCCUCCUGCUAACCAAACUCGUACAGUAAUUAAUUGGUACUUUAAUUGUC